AGAAAGAGUACCCGUUCAUCGUGAGGUUCACAUGGAAGGAAUUCACACCCUUCCAUUGCCCCGUCUUCUCCCACGAGACCUGCACGGACGUGGUGGUCACCGUAACACUCACACUCUCACCUGACGCGGCGAAAACCAGUUUACAGGUUCUGCUAGGUGGGUAAAUCAGCCUCCUCAUCCUGAAUGAAAGCUGAGAAGGUCUGGUGGAGGGCAGUGGCCAUUCGGUACUCCUGAGAUCCCUCAACCAGCAAGUGCAAAGCAUGAUUCAGCAGCUCCAGACUCUGCUUCAGAGAUACUCCUGUACACCGCAAGCUUCCUGAGUCCUGGUGGGAAUGUUUUUGUAAAUACACAAUCAAAUCUAAAGUUCUGAGAUUCACAAAUAUACAGGAAACUUGUGCCAGUAAACCUAACACAGUUAAGUAAAGGUAAUGUAAUAUAGUUAAAAAUAGACAGGAGAAUGACCUAUUAGGUACAUAUGAUUUUUAACUUGUGCAGCUGAUAACCUAGAAAAAUAUUUGGUAACAGAGUAGCAAAUUAAUUCUUGACAUUAACUUCUGCAGCUGAUGAUCUAGAAAAAUAUUUGUUAAUAAAGAGUAGCAAAUUAUCUCUUGUCACUGAAAGGCACAUAUAUAUAGUAAGAUUUACUGGGAGAUGUCUCACCUGCUAAUUGGCUUAUGCAUUCUGGUUUUGUUUUCAUCUUUUUGACAAUGUCUUUGUAUGUCUACCAAUUAAACAUAAAGUAUUGUA